rnacentral:rRNA from 1 species
AGCAGCCGCGGUAAUUCCAGCUCCAAUAGCGUAUAUUAAAGUUGUUGCAGUUAAAAAGCUCGUAGUUGAAUUUCGGAAUCUGUCCAUCGGUCGGGCUUCACAGUCCGUACUGGUGUGGUGGGUUCUUACCUUCUGAAUAACCAGCAUGCCAUUUAUUUGGUGCGUUGGGGAAGCAGGACUAUUACCUUGAAAAAAUUGAGUGCUCAAAGCAGGCUAGUGCCUGAAUACAUUAGCAUGGAAUAAUAAAAUAGGACGGCAUGGUUCUAUUUUGUGGUUUCUAGGAUCACCGUAAUGAUUGAUAGGGAUAGUUGGGGCAUUAGUAUUCAAUUUGUCAGAGGUGAAAUUCUUGGAUUUAUUGAAG